CGGUCGUGGCACAAUACGUGACAGCCCGAAAAUAAUUGCUUCUCCGGUGGUAUUGUUUCCGUAACGAGGCCCGAGCAUGUCCCGGCGAGUUCGGCACCGUAUACUGCGGAUUGGAUUAAAUUUCGUUGAUUAAACUUUAUUCCGCCAUUAAAGUUUCGGCCCUUUGGCAAUCGGCCCUUCGGUCGAUCGUUGCCCUUAAUUCCUCGUCUUGCAGCUGCGGCAUCGCCUCGGAACUAACUUCGAAUCGCCGCGCCGCGCGCAUCUCUAUCGGAUAUAUUUCUGCGUUCUUUAAUAACUUCGCUGGAGUUGCAAAGUUGCGAUCUUAGAUAAGUAAUCAAGAUCAGAGUCCUGUGGUAGGAAAGUCUAAUCGACAAGCUUUAUAUUGCCCGUGUAUUGUUUAAAUAUCGGGUAAAAGAUUGAUUCGAUCGUUCAAAGGCUGUACGAUCGUUUGAUGAUGUUCCCCCACGGACGAGUAUUGGACAAACUGAUAAAGUCUGUCGAUGUGUAGCACGUUUUGAUAUUUCACGGUAUUUGAAGUUCAUAUGAAAUCUAAUAUCUACUAUCAAGUUUUUGGAAGUAAUUUUACAUCGAUUUCGACAUGACUAAGCAUCGAGGUCGAGAAUUUCUAUAUCAGUUCGGAAUAUCACGGAAAAGCAUGACAUAUAAUCUUUCGUAAAAUUCCUUUCUUUUAAACAAUUUGUAUGAAUUUUACAACAGAUUAUGAUUAUUUCGCCGGCAUUACGUUAUUUAUGACAACAUUUAUCUUCUUUUAUCUGUUAAAUACAUAGAAUAAAUUUACGAAAUUGCUGUUUACCGAAAUGCUUCGUGUCUUUUUAUUGUAUAUAUUUUAUGUACCUGAUUCUAUAUAAAUGAGUUUCUCGUAUUAUACCGAUAUGUAAAAUAAGAAAUAAAAAUUAUAUUCUAAAAUUUCUAAA